CAAGAAAAUUGUUGCAAGAAAAUACCAGAGACGAUGUUUCGUGCAGCAAGAAUGCGGCAGAAUCGAGUUUUCUAAAAUGGUUCUUAUGACUCACAGACUCUUCAUUCGAUCCACUGGUGAUAGUUGAGCGCUUAAAAAAUUUUUAUUAGGACAGCCAAAAACAGCCACAGGCCGAAAGCGCUGCUUUUGAUUUGCCAAGUCUCAAAAUCGCUCAAAAUCAAACCCUGACGACGUUUGCAAGUGUUAGUGCUCCAAAAUCAGAAGAUAAGUGCAGCCGUUUCUUCAAAUUAAGUCUCCACAAUAUCAAUUUAAGACUCAACCAGCUCCGUGCCAGAGAUCGUUCUGCUGGUCAGGCGCUGCUCUCGGCCGCACAUUUCAUUUCCUCCGCAAACUCCUCAGGACAGUGUCCGGACGGCCGCCGGUGUUUCUUCGGCGCCGCAGCCAACAAAGAGAAGGGAACCUGCAGCGGCGCCGAUUAUGAUGCCGUGAUUUUCAAAUUGUCGGCCGCCGAGGAAAUGAGGAAUUCGCACCAAGCCUGUUUUCUGGACGCGAGCUCGGCGGAGAAGCCACUCAUUAAAAAAGGGCACAAAUGCAAAAAUACAAAGUAUUUUCAUGCUAUUUUUUGUUUUCAACAAUUAACUCGUUGUUUCCGUCCGUCAAAGUAUAAGUGGGAGAAAUUUCCGAAGCUACAUUUAAUUUCGAUUUUGUCUUCUUCAAGGCAGGGCAGAAGCAAUUUUCGUGCAUCUUGCAAGGGCUGAGGUCAGUGGGACAAGAAU